UGAGGCAGGAGAAUUGCUUGAACCCAGGAGGUGGAGGUUGCAGUGAACCGAGAUCGCACCACUGCACUCCAGCCUGGGUGACAGAGCGAGACUCCGUCUCA
rnacentral:miRNA from 10 species